ensembl:lncRNA
GUGGUGGUGUGUAGAGUAGUGGUGGUGGUGUGUAGAGUGGUGGUGGUAGUGGUGUGUAGUAGUGGUGGUGUGUAGAGUAGUGGUGGUGUGUAGUGGUGGUGUGUAGUAGUGGUGGUGUGUAGAGUAGUGGUGGUGUGUAGAGUAGUGGUGGUGUGUAGUAGUAGUGGUGGUGUGUAGAGUAGUGGUGGUGUGUAGAGUAGUGGUGGUGUGUAGUAGAGUAGUGGUGGUGUGUAGAGUAGUGGUGGUGUGUAGUAGUGUGGUGGUGUGUAGAGUAGUGGUGGUGGUGUGUAGAGUAGUGGUGGUGUGUAGUAGUGGUGGUGUGUAGAGUAGUGGUGGUGUGUAGUAGUGGUGGUGUGUAGUAGUGGUGGUGUGUAGAGUAGUGGUGGUGUGUAUAAUAGUGGUGGUGUGUAGUAGUGGUGGUGGUGUGUAG